UACGAGGGGUGCAAGCGUUGCUCGGAAUUAUUGGGCGUAAAGGGUGCGUAGGCGGUUUGGUAAGUCUGAUGUGAAAUCUAUGGGCUCAACUCAUAGUCUGCAUCGGAAACUGCCGGGCUUGAGUAUGAGAGAGGUGAGUGGAAUUCCGGGUGUAGUGGUGAAAUGCGUAGAGAUCCGGAGGAACACCAGUGGCGAAGGCGGCUCGCUGGGCUUUACCUGACGCUGAGGCGCGAAAGCCAGGGGAGCAAACGGG
rnacentral:rRNA from 1 species